GUGGAAAGUGGCGAACGGGUGAGUAACACGUUGGUGACCUGUCCCGAGGUGGGGAAUAACCGUGGGAAACCACGGCUAAUACCCCGGAUGUCUAGGUUGUUAGAGAAUCUAGACCAAAGCUCCGGUGCCUUGGGAGGGGCCUGCGGGCUAUCAGCUUGUUGGUGGGGUAAUGGCCUACCAAGGCUAAGACGGCUAGGGGGCGUGAGAGCGCGACCCCCCACAAUGGAACUGAGACACGGUCCAUACUCCUACGGGAGGCAGCAGUGAGGAAUAUUGCGCAAUGGGGGCAACCCUGACGCAGCAACGCCGCGUGGACGAUGAAGGCCUUCGGGUUGUAAAGUCCUUUUCUGGGGGACGAUAAUGACGGUACCUCAGGAAUAAGUCCCGGCUAACUACGUGCCAGCAGCCGCGGUAAAACGUAGGGGGCGAGCGUUAUCCGGAUUUACUGGGCGUAAAGCGCACGUAGGCGGCGUCGUAAGUUGGACGUGAAAGCUCUCGGCUCAACUGGGAGAGGUCGUUCAAUACUGCGGUGCUCGAGGUUGGAAGAGGAGAGUGGAAUUCCCGGUGUAGUGGUGGAAUGCGUAGAUAUCGGGAGGAACACCAGUGGCGGAGGCGGCUCUCUGGUCCACACCUGACGCUGAGGUGCGAAAGCGUGGGGAGCGAACGGGAUUAGAUACCCCGGUAGUCCACGCCGUAAACGAUGGAUACUAGGUGGCGAAGUCUCUGACGACGGCGCCGCCGAAGCAAAAGUACUAAGUGUGCCGCCUGGGGAGUACGGCCGCAAGGCUAAAACUCAAAGGAAUUNACAG
rnacentral:rRNA from 1 species